GAGAACAAACAGUCACAGAAGUAAUUUUGCAUUUAUCGCCACUAUUAACAAGUAAAAUAAGAGAAGGGAGAGAUGUUGAACCUCAAUAUAAAUAAAAACAAGCAAUUACACAGAUCUUGACCCCAAAAUUUGAGCGAGGAAAUAACGACAAAAAUCUGACAGGAAACCGCAGACAAUGACUCGGAACCACGAACCACGACCUUGAAUAAGAACUCGAAUGCAAGAUUUGCCUCCCAAAAUUCGGAUCUCUUAAUCAAAAACUCAACACAGCUCCAUUUCAAAUCAGAAAAAUGAAGGCUUGAAAUCAGAUUCCGAUCAAACCCAAUCCAUCACCAUCCGCAAAUACUCGUGGUCGUUUGUACGGAUCUCAGAGACCUUUCACUGACUUUUUCUUUUUUUGCCUUUUUUAACACCGUUUUCUGAAAGAUUUCAAACAGUAAAUUUUCUUGUUGCAUGCAGUGACUAUAGUCCACCACCGAUGAGCAUGAAAUAAGGAAACUCUCAACGAUCGAGACAGAUCUAGGAUCCUAAAGUUGAUGGUUCGACCUAAGAUAUUUGGUACUAAACUGAUGGUGGGCGGCUAUUUUUAGAGCUGUUUCGUUGUGGCUUCAGGUGGUGUUUGACGGAGUUGCAACGGCGAUGGAGGUGAAGGAGGAAGUCUGUUUCGUGGUUGUUCCGGCGAGCUGAGUUGAGGAUGAUGAAGAAGAUUGCUGGUUGGUGUGAGGUCGUGAGAUAAAGAAGUAGCAGCGGCUACUUGUUAUGGUGUCUUGGCGUGAAAGAGAUGGAGGAGAGGCAGUGGUGUGGGGGUGCUGUGUAUGGAAGACGAUCAGCGACUCUAAGGUUCCUGGAAAUGGUUUCCUGUUCACAGGGGUGUUCGAACGGUUUUGUGAAGAUGAAGGAGAGAAAGUCUGAUGAGUGUUCUUUGGUUGAAGAAGAAAGUCACGGCUGGGGCUAGUUGAUUAGCUAGGAUUUUCUUUUGAAGAAGAUGAAGGUUGGGGUUCCAGCUGAAAACGGCUGCCAUCUCUCUUAGGUCUUAGGAUUUUUUUGUCUAGGUCUAGGUUUUAGGGUUAUUUUUAUGUUAGGAGAGUAUGGGCUUAGAAAUUAUGGGUUUGAAAAUUAUGGGCUAGAUCCGAAUUGGGUCAAAUUUUGGCCAAAUUUACCUUUAAAAAGUUGCCCUUUAACUCCACUAGACUAAAAGUAUUAAUUCCUAAAAUAAUAACUACAAAAUUAUGAAAUCAUUCCUAAUUAAUUAAAGUAAAAUUAAGAAUUAAAAGUGAAACUAUUUUUGUAUUUUUUAAAAUUUUAUGGAAGGUAUAUAAACUAAAAGUAACUAGAUAAAAUAUCAAUUAGCUAAAUUAAAGAAAAUACUUUUGUAAUUUUUAUUUUUGUGACAAAAUAAAGUAAAAGAGUGAAAAAUUAGUAAGUAGCGAUAUUAGACCUAAACUAAAUAUUUAACACUAAAAUGUGUAAAAUCUUAGGGAGGGUCAAAAAUUAUAUGUCUAUAACUUUCCCUCUUUGACUGGAAACACGAAGUAUUUUCCGACAAAGAACGAUGAGACAGGUUUUUUGAUCCGACCCUUAUUUAGAGAGACCAAAAACUAAAAGAAAGGAGAAUGUGACCGAGCCCUGGUGUCUGAGCUGCCUACAUAUCAUUAACUAUAAAGGAAUCAGGCCACGUGUAGUUCAAAAGUAGGAACAGUGAUGGAGUAAACCGAGGUGCAGAGCCGAUUAAGGUGUCGUUCCGUUGAGGUUCCGUUCCACGGUCCUGUUAUUACAUCGAAAAUCAAGAUUAAAAAAACUAACUAAGCCUAUCAGCUAAGAGUUACAAGAUUCCUAUCUAUGAGUCUUCUAAAGCUUGAUCUUGAGUCUUGGUUUGUUCUUCAUGCAGACUCUGAUCUGAAUUUGAUGCUUGUUAGCUGCAGGUGUUAGUUCAUUCUUCCACGGCUUCUUCGGAUCAAGACCGUACAUGCAGUGCUCGUGACUUCAGCCAUGUCUUGAGCAGCUCACAUCUUUCAUCUGCUUCUGCAUUUGUAUUCACUUCCCUCUUUUUUUCUUUUCUUUCUUUUUCUUGGAUUGAGACUUCUUCUUUGGUUAUCUCAAACCCUCGUGCCUCGAGGUAAAAACCAUAUUCUUCAGGCAACUCAUGCUACCUCCGAUUUAAAACUUGAAAUGAAUUCUGAAAUGACUUCCCCCAUUCUCCGGGUGGGUGCCUGCUACUGACUGGAAACUUGAAAUAAAUUCCCCCAUUCUCCGGGUGGGCGCCUGCUACUCACAUAAAACUUAAAAUGACUCUGAAUUGAAUUCUGAAAUGACUUCCCUCAUUCUCCAGGCGGGGUGCCUGCAACUUAAAAUUUGAAAUAAAUUCCCUUGUUCUCCAGGUGGGCGCCUGAUGCUGACUUAAAAUUUGAAAUAAAUUCCAUUUUUCUCCAGGUGGACGCCUGUAACUUAAACUUGAAAUGAAUUCCCUUAUUCUCCAGGUGGGCGCCUGCAACUUAAACUAGAUGUAUCAAACGGGCUAGGUUGACCCGGGAUCGGCCGUCCCAGACCGAUUGAAAACCAGACCGGUCCGGCCCGGUACUUAAGGGGCCGGGUGGGCUGGGUUACUGGGGUUAGGGGGUUGGUCCGUUCACUUUAAUUUAUCCGAUUAACCGGACCGGUCAAACCCGAUCAACCAAAAUCCCUAUAGAAUCGGUUAACCAGCCCGGCGCAGCCCGAACCGGUUUAAAGGCUAGAUUUCAAUUUUUUUUUUAAUUUUUUAAGGUUUUAGAGUCUAAGGCAAUGCAAAACCUUUGAAUUUACUUUUUUUUCGUUAAUUUACUUGUUGUUAAAUGUAAACCUUUAAAUUUGUAAGUUGGAAUUUUGAAAUAAAUGUUGCACUUGCCAUUUAUAAGUGCAAUUGUUUUCCAUUUUCAUUGUAUUCUUUAUAUUUUUACUCUAUAUUAAUAUAAAUUACAAUAGUUAUACAAAAUAAAAAAAAAACACUAACCCGGCCCGGCUCGGCCCCUUGGACCCGUAACCUUACGAUUCAUUUUUUUACACGGAUGAACCCGAACCCGUUAAGCCCGGGAACCCCUAACCCGUAACUGGCCCGGUUUGAAACUCGGACGGUUUUAACUUUUCCGUACCCAGCCCGGCCCACCGUUUAGACAUCCUUAACUUAAACUUGAAAUGAAUUACCUUGUUCUCCAGGUGGGCGCCUAAUGCUGACUUAAAAUUUGAAAUAAAUUCUCUUGUUCUCCAGGUGGGCGCUUGAUGCCGACUUAAAAUUUGAAAUAAAUUCCCUUGUUCUCCAGGUGGGCGCCAACAACUUAAACUUGAAAUGAAUUCCCUUGUUCUCCAGGUGAGCGCCUGAUGCUGACUUAAAAUUUGAAAUAAAUUCCCUUGUUCUCCAGGUGGGCACAUGCAACUGACUUAAAACUCGAAUGAAUUCCCUUGUUCUCAAGGUGGGCGCCUGCAACUGACUUAAAAUUUGAAAUAAAUUCCCUUGUUCUCCAGGUGGGCGCUUACCAUUACAACAAAACAGACAAAACAAAAGAAACUUUUCUUCCCUAGUUUGGUACCGGGAACAUCUGUGAGUGUUAAUGAAAUCAUGUUAUCCAAAAAAACUCUAAGAAUUUAAAAGCUAAAUCUCAUUAUCCAGGAGGGCCUUGAAAACUAAAAUUAAAUCUAAUCUUAAGAGUGAAAACUUGAAAGCUAAAUUCUAUUCCUAAAGGUAGAACUUACGCUAAAUCUCAUUAUCUAUGAGAGUCCUAAAAACUUAAAACUAAAUCCCAUUAUCCAGGAAGGUCAUGACAACUUAAAACUACAUCCCAUUAUCCAGGAGGGUCCUGAACUUAAGGAAAUCUAAAACUCUUCUGAUUGUGAAGAAUGUUUAGGAGGUACGAUUCUUCUCGACUAAGGAAAAUGUGCAGGAGGUAAAAACCUUCUUAACUAGGGGAAUGCCUAGCAAUUAAAACCUCCUCAAACAGCCUUUCUGCAGACAAAAUUAGGCACGACACUUGAAAAAUUCAAGCUUCCAAGCUUUGAUUUGGACAUAGUCUUCAUCCCUGUUUCAAACAAAGAAAACUUGUGAUUCAAACACGGUAGUUGGUUUGUGGCCUUGACUUUGAGGGAGAUUGCUCCUUCACUUCUCAUGAUAACUUUAAUUUCAACUCGAAAGACCUUGCUUAUUUAUUGAAUAACCACUUUCUCUGUCACCCUUAUCACAGAAAAUACCUCUGAUCUGUUCAAACCCAACAUCCUCUAUCUGUUGCAUUGUGCUCAUGAAUUGACAUAUACCGAACCUUUGUAUUUCACAUGAAUCCCAAAACAUGUCAAUUGCCACCCACUCAGUGCGCAUACUGUGCUUUCCUAACUUAUGCCGCUUUGAUGUGCUAGCCAGAUUCCGUUUUGUGCAAUUGGAAGGCAGGUAACAAAUUUUGAAGUUAUUUCUCACUUGUUCUAGCCAAAUAGACUCAAGAAAAGGGAGUAAACAAAACAAAGGGAACAAAGUAAGAGACAAUGGAAAGAGAUGAUAUCUAACAAGAAAAUUACAAAGUAGAAACUUAUCAGAUGUGGAUACCAACUCUAAUGACCAUGACAUGCAUUUUUAGAUUAAGUGGCCUAAUCUGUCAAGCAAGUCUAAUGUUUAACUCUUGUUUUACCUCUGAGUCAUGAAACUGAGCUUCAAUGCUCCGAUUAUCCUAUCUGAUUCACAGUCCUUAUUCGACUUGUAGUGCCCGAAGGAUUUUUACCAUCAAGCCUCUCUCAUUUCUUCUUUCUCUCAAUUCACCGUCGCCUUAUGGUUCCUGUGAAGGUUUUCAUCAAUAAGACUCUCUCAUUUUGUUCUUUUUAUUUUUACUUCCUCCGAUUUUGUAGAUGACAAGGCAUUGACCAUAGUAAAAACAUCAUAUGCUCCUGGCAUGUCUAGCUCGGCACUCUCAAAGAUUACCUAGGAGGUCUUUUUGGACUGUAAUGUGGCUUUUGGACAGGGUUAGAAAGUAAGGAUAUCACAAAGGCUCAAAAUAACUAAAACAACGGGGUUGAUUUAUUUACAACUUUUGGAAUCCAUUCUAAAAACUUUACCCAAUUUCUAAAACAAGGGAAUUUGAAUCUUUUUUUCUUUUUCUUUUUGAGAUGAAAUUUCUAAGAAAGACUGCCCCACUCUCAACUUCGUGGGAUUAUGAAAUAUUUUAUUUGGUGCGACCGAACCUUAAGGUUGCCUACGUAUCUUGUGGCGACAAGAAUUAGGUCGAACGUAAUUCAACGAAAUACUUUUUGUUACUAUUUUUCUUUCUUUUUUCUUUUUCUUUUUUUUCCUUUAUCUCUAUUUUUCUUUUUUUUUUCUUUUUUUUUGAAUUUCCCUUAUGGAAUGAACUCUCUAAAACAAACCUAUGGGUAAAUGAACCUUUUUUUCUUUUUCGUAUGACUCUAACUUGAUUCCAAAAGAGGAGAGAUAAAGAAAUCAGCACAGGCUCAAAGGGUAUCCAAGGAUAUAAAGUGUUUGGGUAGCUGAAAGAGGGACUCUCAAUCCCUAAAAAUGCCAAGUACAACACAUGCAACUUGAGGAUGAAAAUUGAAGAUCAUGCACAAUAUUUCUUUUGCGACUUCGGCAAUGGUAUCACUGAUAUGCCUUCCAUUUUUCUUUAGCGCCUUGUUAAGUAUAAAAAUCUCGUUGGGUGAUUCCUUCUUCACAAUGGAUAUCCUCCCUCAAUUCGGAGCAAACUCUCUUGACUUUAUCUUGUAAAUUGAGGUGCACUUGAACUCAAAACUGCUUGCUUCAAAUUGUUUGGGAUUCACUCUCCUUUAACGAAUUCUUGUCAUCUUAUCAACUUCCCAAAUUAUCUGCCUCAGUUUCACACAUUUCGGGCUUUAAAUGAUCUCACAAUGUCUAAAUAUGUACUUAUUUCCCUCAAACGUCCCUAUCAUCUUCAAAAUUGUUUCAUUGCUUUGUAAUUAGACUAAUGUUUAAGAAUAAGCCUUCAAUUAUGCGUGCAUGUCAUGUCACUAGAGCCAGCAUUAAAAAAACUAUUAAAGAAAAAGCAAACUAAACAAAAAUUGACUAAAAAUAACAGAAAUAGGAAAUUGCAUUAGACAGACGGUGAAAGGGUUUGAACAACAAAACAAGCAAAAUAAGCUAGGGUUACAACCCUGGAACAAACCUAGAUAACACUAAACGAGUUACUACGACUAAACGAACUAGGAAAAAUAAAAGGAUAGAAGGGUUUGAAUCACAAGACAAUAUCCGGAUUACAACCCUGAAAUUACCCGGAAAACAGAAAUGAAAACAAAAUAAACCACCAAAACUUCUCUCUAACUAACCAAGAAAAGAGUGUCUUUCCAAUUACUAAGCUCGACAUGUUAGCCACUGAGUCGCACAUCGAUGUUACUAGAACCUUUGCAAGUCUCCAUCAUGUUGUCCUUAGCAAAUAGCUUUUGGGUACCUUUUGCCAACUCACUCUUAAGAUCAACUUCCGGAACCGAGACUGAUACUGCUGAAAGCUUUGCGGAAAGUGCCCCCCCAAGGGACUCAGAAGAGUUCUCGUAUUCCAUUUCAACACAAACCAUACCCACCAUGUGCGUCUCAUUAAGAACAUGCAGUGGACUUUGGCUAGUGUCUAAUGCAUCUGGAUUUUGCACGACAAUGUCACUUGCGUCAACAAGCUUCUGGACUGCUCUUUUCAGAUUCCAACACUUUUCGAUGAUGUGCCUCAGGGGAUUUGAGCAAUAUGCACACCUCUGAGAAUAAUCAAAAUUCUCUGGAAGGGGGUUCAGCAUUUUUAUCUGAAUCGGCUUUAACAUGCCCAAUUGCCUCAAUCUUUGGAACAAACUGGCACAUGAUUCUCCAAUAGGAGUGAAAGACUUUUCUCUUUGUUGCUGCCUUUUCAUUUUGUACUAUGGCCUGGACUGAAACCUCUUGCAGGCAGGUGGUUGAUAUGCUUAUAGAGGUGGGUAAGACAUUUUUGGAGACGGUGCAAGCCACUGCGGGUCUUGUGGAUGUGGAGUAUAUAGCGGUGCAUUGUGGAUAAAGUACUGGGAAAGUGAGGUAUGACUUUGGUGAUUUUGUGGAGAGAAGUAGCAUUGGGGAGAAUUAUCUGGAGUAUGAUGAUAUUUAUGGGGAUGAUAUUGGGGCUGAAAGUGUUGAUCAGGAAAACCCACUGGAUCUUGUCGUCGGCGGGGUUCAACGACAUCUUUUCUAUUUCUCUUUCUUCCCCCCAAAUUUACUGAGAUGUUCUGAAUGUUUUCUAUAGUAUAUUUCAAUGCAGAAUAACUCAUGAUUUUUCCUAUCUUGAUUCCUUCUUCUACUAUCUCCCCCAUCUUUACCACAUCAUUGAAAGGUUUACCCAAAGCCGGGAUCAAAUGACUGAAGCAGAUGGCCCCUUAGGCUUGUAGAAAAAUCUCACCCAUUUCUUCUUCACCAAUCGGGGAACUGACUCGAGCAGCUUGUUCCCUCCAUCUAAGUCCAAACUCCCUAAAACUUUCCUCGGAUUUUUUUUCCAACUUAGAUAAGGAGGAUCGGUCUGGGAUAAUGUCUAGAUUGUACUGAUCAAACAAAAUCUUGAGCCAUUUCAUCCCAUGCAUGCCACUUAUUGACAUUUUGACGAGUAUAUCAUUCCAAGGCUGCCCCACUCAAGCUCUCACUAAAAUAUGCGAUCAACAAUUCAUCUUUCCCGCCAACACUUCUCAUUUCACUGCAAUAAACCCUCAGAUAGGCUACUAGGUCUCCAUGCCCAUCAUACAUGUUAAACUUUGGUAUUUUAAAUCAUGCGGCCAAGUGAACGUCAUGGAACAUACACAGAUCCUUGAAGGCAAUACUCUUCUGACAUGCCAACGCUUGCAUGUUUCAUAAAGACUGCUCUAAGAUUUUCACCUUCCUGGAUAUCUCAUCUUGCUCCACUGUCUUAGUAGAAUUUUCAGUUUCACCGGGAGGCUCAAAAUGAGGAGCGUGAGAGUAUGGAUCCGAGACCUUGAAAGUUGGUUCUGGAGCAUAAUGUUGGGCAUCAGGGAUGUCGAACACAGUCUCGCUAGAGGAUCGAGGAAAGGUAGCUGGUGGAUGAUCUACAAAAAUAUGAGUGGUCAAAGGAGCGAGAUAUGAGGUGGUUUUGGUGAGUGGAGUGUGAAAAGUUUGUGGAGAGAUGUCAGCAGCAGUGGGAAUCUGGAUUUGUGACAGUGGCGGAAUAGUGACAAGGCUUUCAGGGUAGUUAGUGGAAAAUAAUGGUGGAGGACGCCCACUAAUCUAGGCUUGGUAUUUUUCAGCCAUCUGUCCUUUCAACCUUAAGACCUCUUCUUUCAACUUAGAUUCUUACUCAACAAUCUCCUUAGACGGAUCAAUAACACCCGUGUCCAAGUCUUUGCUAGCCAUGACUACCUUGAUCUUUGACCUUGUGUUGUAUGGAUGAGUUACUUAAGAGCCACAAACCAACCACCCUUCUCAAUGAAGAUAACAAAAGGAACAAAAUGGGGUCAUCUUGUCAGCGUUAGAGCAUUUAACAGCUAAAAAUAUCACAUUGCGUGCAAUGCACCUAGAAACAAUUAAUGGUUCUAGAAUGACUUCGAGGGUCACAAGGUCACUUGGCAUCAUCCCAAUUUUGUUCAUUUCAAUCUUCUCUUUUCUUUCUUUUCUAGCACUUCUUGGCUUGCUUAUUUUCCUUCCUCUUUUUUUUCUUCUUCUAAUUAUCACUCUUUUCUUUCCUCUUAUUUCUCGCAUCCCAUAAUUUCACCUCUCUUUUUUCUUUUAAUUUUAUUUUUAAAAAUAAUUCGAUCGAACCUUAUGUAGAUUGCAUACGUAUCAUGUUCCACAUGAAUCAUACCAAGCGUAGUUCUAGAAAAGUAAUUUAUAAAUUAAACUAAAAAAAUAAAAAACUUUUUGGAUUAUUCAUUACAACAACCUUUUUUUUCAUUUUCAAAUACAAAACAGGAAAUAUGAUAACGAGAGACUCAACUCAACUAUACUACGACAAACUCUGACACUAACUAUAAGAAUUAUUACUACUGGACAUGACUAUAAGGUACAAAACAACAUAAAAAGAAACAGACUCAAAACAUAAAAAAUCUCCUUAAGCAACUCCUGGAUGCAGCAGUCCUGACCAGAUUGUCCUGGGGUAUCUGUCAUGCUCAAACUCCGGUAAGUAAAUCCACACCUGUAUAAGAAAACUCAAACCAAAUAGAGUUAAAGACCUAGAACACUAUGUGAGACAAUAACACUUCCUGUUGGACACAUGCAAGACAUGAUUGAAGCUAUUUUUGCAAAAUAGCUUAUGUGGCCAAAAUGUGGUUGGAAGUGCAAACUCAACAAAAAUGACCUCUAAGACAUGGAAAAAUUACUUUGCCGAAAUGACCCAUGUGGCAAAAAAUGGCUAAGCAUGCAAAUUCAACAUAAUGGACCUUAAACAGAGAGGACACCUUGUUGUGGACUUAGGACUCUAAGACAUGGGUUAAUUGAACCACUUUUGCGAAAAUAACCUAUUUUGCAAAAUGGCCUAUGUGUCCAAAAGCGGCUAGACAUGAAAUUUUGACAAGGACGGACCUUUAAAGUAAAGAGACACCUAAUUGUGGAUUCAAGACUCUUCAGACAAUUAAACAAACUACUUUGCAAAAAUAGCCAUAUUUUACAAAAUGACCGAUGUGGCCAAAAGUGGCUAGACAUGCAAGAUGUGGCUACGACCUUCGAAGCCAAGAACCUAAGACUUACUAGGAAGACCGGACCCUAUGUGGGUUGCCUACGUAUUAUGCCCCGAAAGAUGAGAAUCAGGUAUGCGUAGUUCGGAAAGAUUGGAUACAAGCGAGAAUUAAACAAUAACAAAUAAUUUAGAGAAAAUAUAUUUUUUGUCUUUUUUUUUGAAAAAUGAUGAAACAUGUAAACUCUUUUUGAUUUUCUUUUUCUCUUUUUUUAUUCUUUUUUUGGAAAAUAAUGGGAAAGUGCAAAAUCUUUUUGGAUUUUUCAUGUUUUUUUUUCUUUUUCUUGAAAAAAACAAAUUGUGAAAGAAACAUAUAACUGGGCCCUACUUGCUUUAUUUUUAUACUUCAACCUCUUUUCUUUCUCAUUUACCCUCAAACCUCAUUGGUCCGCCAAAUGACCCCUUUUACCCUUGAAGAUUGCAAUAUGUAACACAUAGGAUGCAUCAGGAUGGUCUUUUAUUUUUGGGUACACCUGUCCUACACGGACCCAACCCAUGUGUUGAGUCCCCAAAGUCAAAUGCACGUGAUGCAAACAAACUUUCCUACUAGGGAUCCGACAUGAGGCUAUGUUAUUAUAGUUUUAAAACCUAGGUGUAUUGUUCUAGACCUGACUUACCCGAGCGGACAACUCAAGCCGGGAGAGAGGGCGGCGUACCGGUAACCAAAAGAUCAUCCGACCUUGCAACUUGUUCGAGCCUCGUUCUAAAUUGGGAUAUGACACUAACAGAAAAGAACUCAUGCCAGCAUGCACUUCCCAGAAGAUUAGAAGAGAAGGGUUUCACAGCAAUUUAUAUGUAGUUCAAAUUAUAUCAAAGCGGUAAAAAGCGAUAUUUAGCACAUUAGGCCCAAGCAUGUAAUAAAAAUGAGAUAAUAACUAAAAGCCAAAUAUAACAAUUAUUCUAAGCUCGAAUUCUUGAACCCUGAACCAGAGAUUCUGGGUUCUUAGUCCCCAGCAGAGUCGCCAGAGCUGUCACACCUCAUUUUUCUACCCCGAAAAAGUAUAGGGGAGUUUUUCCAAUUAAAGUAACAAUAACCAAAACAUGAUUAUUUAUGUUAAAAUUCAGAGUCGCCACUUGGGAUAAUUUAUGGUGUCCCAAGUCACCGAUUUAAAAUUCCGAAUCGAGGAAAAUUUUGACUCUGUUUCACAGUCCGCGAAACACAGAAAUCCGGAUAAAAUUUUUUUUAAACUCGAGAGAAGGUGUUAGGCAUUCCCGGGUUCCAUGGUUUAGCACGGUCGCUCAACUAUUAUUAAUUGGCCUAAUUAUCUGAUUAACGACAUGUUUUAUUCCUAUUGUGCAUUUUUAAACUUAUAACCGCUUUUAUUGUUUAUAGCACAAAUCAUGAUGGCCGCACACAUUACAAACCGCGUCACAUGAAAUGCACCCGCAAUUUACAACAUGUUUAUUUUAUUAUUAUUAGAAGUUAUGGUCGGGUCACAUGAAAUGCACACCUGAAUUAGGGAUUGGGUAUCACGAUCAUGCCACGGGAACCGUACCCAUAGUCGUGAUGAUUUAAUAUUAAUCGUGCCUAAAGCAAGCUACGAUCUUUAUGAAUACUACUGGCCUAAGCAUGCUCCUAAUAGUCAAAACAAAAUAAAUAAGGCAGUAAACAUGUAAUCCUAAUCUCUCUUUCACUGAACUAAGCCCAGACCAUUAUUUGCUUCUUUUAAUCCACUUCCUUAACUCAAGUUCCAAAAUCGAUUUAUCAGAAAUAGCAUUUUGUAUUUCUUUGCCUAAUCUUUGCUUAACAAUAUAAAUCACUAUUGAAUUCCAAACAUUAAUAAUUAAACAAUGGAACUACUUUAAUAACUCAACAUUAACAAACACACUAUAAAUUCUACAAUUAACACCAAAUUCAUAAGAAACUCAUAGGAGAACAAACAGUCACAGAAGCAAUUUUACAUUUAUCGCCACUAUUAACAAGUAAAAUAAGAGAAGGGAGAGAUAUUGAACCUCAAUAGCAAUAAAAAUCAGCAAUUACACAGAUCUUGACCCCAAAAUUUGAGCGAGGAAAUAACGACAAAAAUCUGACAGGAAACCGCGGACAACGACUCGGAACCACGACCUUGAAUAAGAACUCGAAUGCAAGAUUUGCCUCCCAAAAUUUGGAUCUCUUAAUCAAAAACUCAACACAGCUCCAUUUCAAAUCAGAAAAACGAAGGCUUGAAACCAGAUUCCUAUCAAACCCAAUCCAUCGCCAACCGCAAAUACUCGUGGUCGUUUAUACAGAUCUAAGAGACCUUUCACUGACUUUUUCUUUUUUCUGCCUUUUUAACACUGUUUUCUGAAAGAUUUCUAACAAUAAAUUUUCUUGUUGCAUGCAGUGACUAUAGUCCACCAACGAUGAACAUGAAAUAAGGAUGUCACGAUGUAAUGACCCGACCGGUCGUUUUAAGCUUUUGCACUUUGCUCAUCGGUUCUCAGGCAUGACUUGCCCCGUGUGAUGGAUUAUGACUUAUGUAAAUCGUUGGUUUUGGUUUUCAGGGUAAUCAGAAUGAAUUUGGAAGAACAGUUCCCAGUUUGAAGCUUGAAAUUUGAAAAAAAUUGACCAAGAUUUGACUUGUUAGUAUAUGAUCUUGCAUCAAAAUUUUUAUGAUUUGGUUAGCUCCAUUAGGUGAUUUGUGACUUAGGAGCGUGAUCGGAAAGCAUCUUGGAAAUCCAUGGAAGGUUUAGGCUUGAAUUGGUGAAAUUGACAUUUUGGCAUUUUCCGGUUGAUAGGCAAAAUUUUGAUAUAGGGGUCAGAAUGGAAUCUUGGAAGUUACAGUAGCUCCAUUGUGUCAUUUGUGACCUGUGUACAAAAUUUCAGAUCAUUUGGACGUGGUUUGGUCGGGUUUUUGAUCAAAAGCGUAAUUUGGAAGAUUUUGGAAUUCUUAGGCUUGAAUUCGAUGCAAAUUUGGUGUUUUAAUGUUGUUUUGAGCGUUACGAAGGUUGAAACAAGUUUGAAUGAUAUUAUGGGAUAUGUUGGAAUGUUUGGUUGAGGUCCCGAGGGCCUCGGGUGAGUUUCAGGUGGUCAAUCAGACCAUUUUAUAUUGUGAGAAAUUUCAGAAUUGCUGCUGUUGGUGUUGCAGGUUUUUGACCUUCCUGUUCGCGAUACAUGUCCCCCAUUCAUGAAGGGUUAAGGUGAGAGGCUGUGAAGUUGGCCUUCGCGUUAUAAUGGUUCCGUGAUCGCAAAGGUGUGAGGUCUUUGGUCAUCGCGUUCGCGAGGUCUUGGUUGCGUUCACAUAGAGGAAAAAGGAUAGCUGGGUCCUCAGUGCAUUUGUUCUACCCGUUCGCAUAGUUGGGGUCGCAAUCGCUAGGUGUUGAGUGUGUUGUGCAUCGCAUUCGCGUGAGAUUUCUCGCGUUCGCGUAAAAGAAAUUCUUGUCAGUGAAGCAGUGUGCUUCGUGAACGCGAGGGAUAUGCCACGUUCGCGAUGAAGAAAUGUCUAGGCAGACAGUUUAUAUUUUUAAAUCGAGGGUUUAAGUCCAGUUUCAUAAAAACCAUUGGAGAGCUCAGGAGAAGGUGGAAUUUGAGGAGAUUUUCAGUGGAGCUAUUGGGGUAAGUAUUCUUCACGCAUAUUUGGUUUAAUUCCAUGAUUUGGUCUUGAAUUUCAUCUUUUAAUUUGAGAAAUUAGAGUGAAAAUUGAGGAAAAAAUAGAAGAAAAGUUUGAGAUUUCUUUUGGGGAUUUGAAUGGGCAAUUGAGAUCGGAUUUUGACGAAUUUGAUAUGGGUAGACUCGUGAGUGAAUGAGGAUUUUAUUGUUGUAAUUUUUAUCGGAUUCCGAGAAGUGGGCCCGGGGGCUGGGUUUGAGCAAUUUCGUGAUUUUGAUGCAAAUUGGAUAGUUUCGAGUGGGCUUUGUUCCCUUAGAAUAUUUUAAUAGUUAUGUACUGAUUGUGGCUAGAUUUGGAGCAUCCGGAGGUGGAUUCAUGAGGGAAAAGGCAUCGCGGACUAGAGUUUGGACCAUAUCGAGGUAAGUAAUGAUUGUAAAUGUUGUCCUGAGGGUUUGAAACCCCGGAUUUCACAUCGUUGUGCUACUUGAGGUGACGCACACGUUAGAUGACGAGCGUGGAGUCGUGCACCGUUGAGGAUUGUGACUUGGUCUGUCCCGUACGACUGUUAAGUCGCGUAUUUGAUUUGAAAUCUUAUGAUAAUCCAUAUUUUAAAGAUUGAUAUUAUAUUUUGGUAUGUAUGCCAUGUUUGGGCCUUAUGCCGACCUAUUGAGACCCUUAGGGGCAUUUUUACUAUUUUUCCUCACUCUAUUUGUUUUGAAAGCAUAUCCUCAAUCAUGUUUUACAUGUUUAUUGUUUAAAUCUGGUUUUAUCACUUUACUUCUUAAAAUGUGAAAACUGUUUGGUCUGAGUUCCCUGUUUUACAGAUGGUUCGAGUGAUCUGAGGUUGAUGACUAAGAUAGACCGAGGGUCUGAUUGUGAGGUUGAUGACUGAGAUAGACCGAGGGUUUGAUUGUGAGGUUAAUGACUGAGAGAGGCCGAUGGCCUGGUUGUGAGGAUUAUAUAUCUAUGAAUUGGGUUGCACGCCGCAACAAUAUAUAUAUGUAUAUGGAUCGGGCUGCACAUCGCAGCGAUAUGUAUAUGGAUCAGGUUGCACGCCACAGCGAUAUGUUGGAUCGGGCUGCAUGCCGCAGCGAUAUAACGCUUGGGCUAUAGGAGCCCUUCCGGAGUCUGCAUACCCCCAGUGAGCGCAAUCGACUAUAUAUAUGGAUUAGGCUACACGCCGCAACGAUAUAUGGAUCAGACUGCGUGCCGCAGCGGUUACUAUAUGGUACUUAUUGAGUGUGAAUGCUGAGUGUGAGCGCUGACUGAUGAAAGUUUAGUCUCGAGUGACUGAGAGGCUUGCCCGAGGGGCUGUAUACAUAUAUGAGUGAUGCUUUGUCCGAGGGGCUUGUUUGAUGUAAUUGCUGUUUUCACUCCUCUUUAUACUGAGCCUCUGUUGAAAAUGUUGAACAAAUGUUUUUAAACAACUUUCAUUUAAGUUGGAGUUUUUAUGAGAUAUUCGAUAUUUAAUCACUGAUUUUGGCUUUGUUAUUUCCACUGAGACUUUUAUGAUAUGAGGUGUUUAUGAUUCCUAUUUUUGCCCGAGGGGCUGUUUACGAACUAUGUUUUGCCCGAGGGGCCGAUUAUGNNNNNNNNNNNNNNNNNNNNNNNNNAGUCUUUAUUUACUCUUAUUACUUACUGGGUUGGAGUACUCACAUUACUCCCUGCACCUCGUGUGCAGAUUUAGGUAUUUCAGAAUCCGGUAGCGGGUAUUGAUUGCUCAGACGCGGAGCCAUCAGAGUUAGCACGGUGGCUGCACGACGUUCGUAGCAUUGCUUCCUUCCUUUCCUUUUUCAUUACUGUAUUUAGUACUUUUUUAGACUCUUGUUGUAUUUAGACCUUGAUAGAUGCUCAUGGCUAGUGACACCCCGAUGUUGGGCUUGUGUAAUUAUUCCGCACUUUUCUUUUAAAUUUUCAUUAUAAGAUUAUUGGUUAAAUGGGAUAAAAACAACUUUUAUUGGAAAAUGGUUGAUUCAGGAGUUGUGUCGGCUGGCCUAUUUUCACGAUAGACGCCAUCACGACUGGAUCGAUUUUGGGUCGUGACAACGAUCCGGAUUUUCCACCCUCGGGAGUCGUGAUGGCGCCUACUAGUGAAAGUUAGGCAAGCUAACCAACUGAAAUAUUUACCUUGUUUCCAUUUUUAAUCCGAUAACAGUUAAAACCUAACAAUUAGAUAACAAAAGAAUUGAAUAAGCGGAAGGCUGUAUUGUAAAGAUUUAAUAAUACUGCUAAUGCCAAUCCAUAACAAACCUACCCAAGACUGGUGUCACAACUUCACAGACUAUCUAGGAGUACUACAAAUAAAGGUCUGAAAGAAAUAAAUACAAUACUGUCGUUGGAAAUACAUAAAAGAAACAAGAAUAGUAGAUAGAAGGAGAUGCCAAGGCCUGUGGACGCCUGCAGGACUACCUCGGGUCGCCUGAUGAACAAGAAACAACAAUCUCACUACGGUCUAAAGUAUACAACACUGGGAUCUACAUAAAAGAGUGUAGAGUGUAGUAUCCGCACAACCGACCCCAUGUGCUGGUAAGUCCCUAGCCUAACCUCGGCGAAGUAGUGACGAGGCUAGGACUAGACUACCAAAUAAACAUGUGCUGUUAAAUCAUAUACAACAGAAAAGAAGAACAGUAAUGUACAGUUAAGUAUGGGAGGGGGUAACAUGCUGCGGGGACAUCGAAUAAUAACAGAAGAACAACAAAUAAAUAUGAGGAUCACCACAGUUCAAUUGAAAAUAGAAAGGGGGUGGGGGAAUCAUGCUGCGGGAUACAACAUGUAUCAACAGGAAACCAACAAUUAAAUGUAGAGAAACCGUAACUCAGUUAUCAAUAAAAAUUAGGAAAUCGAAGACAAGUGCAUGGCAUCACCCUUCGUGCUUUAACACUCUCUCACCAAAACAAUACACGGCAUCACUGCGUGCUUUAACACUCUCUCACCAAAACAAUACACGACAUCACUCUUCGUGCUUUACACUCUUCCUCACCCAAGCAACAAUCACAAGACAAAUAGGGUAAGAGAAUCUAUAACAUCAAAAUAAAAUCAAGUAACACCAUAAAAUCAGUAAAUAAACGUAAAGGACAACAUAACUCAAUUAUCAGAAGAAUCAGGAAAAUCAAGGACAAGUGCACGACAUCACCCUUCGUGCUUUUACUCUCGUCCUCACCAUAAAAAUUAAUAUAAACUACACGGCAUUACCUUUUGUGCUUUUACUCUUAUCCUUACCAUCAAAUCAAUAUAAUCGGAACGAAAUUAUACAUCGUGGGCACGACAUCACCCUUCGUGCUUUACACUCUUCCUCACAAAAUCAUACACGGCAUCACCCUUUGUGCUUUAACACUCUUCCUCACCCUAAACAACAAUCAAAAGAAAUAAAGGCAAGGAAAUAAAUGAAAUCACAAUAAAAUCCCGGCAAGGGAACAAUAGUACAAUAAUCAAAUCCCGGCAAGGGUGACAAUAACAAAACAAUAACAUUCCGGCAAGGGAGACAAUGUCAGGAUUCUCUCUCUCCUUUCUUCUUUCACAUUUACUUCACAACUCAAAUCACAACUUGAGCCAAUGCUCUAUAAUGUUCAACAAUUCAAUUCUUAACUUGAGCCAAUGCUCUAUAAUGUUCAACAAUUCAAUUCUCAACUUGAGCCAAUGCUCUACCAUGUUCAAUUAACAAUAAUACUUCCACAAGUCAUAUUCCUCAAUAUAAAUUACCAUAUAGAGCAUGAACAAUAUGAAGCAAAGUCACAUUAAUCAUAGUAUAAGACUCACGGGUAUGCUUGACACCAACGUAUAGAUACUCGUCAUCAUGCCUAUACGUCGUACUCAACAAAUAACACAUAGCAAAUAGGACACAACUCCUAAUCCCUCAAGCUAAGGUUAGACCAAACACUUACCUCGAUGACACAAACACAAUUCAAGCCUCAACUAUUGCUUUACCUCUUGAUUCCACCACCAACUCGCUCGUAUCUAGCCACAAUUUACUUAAUUACAUCAAUAAAUGCUAAAUGAAUAAAUUCUAAUGAUGAAAAUAGGUUUUCUAAAGUUUUUCCCAAAAAGUCAAAAAUCGACCCCGGGCCUGCUUGGUCAAAACCCGAGGUUUGAACCAAAACCCAAUUACCCAUUCCCCCACGAAUCCAAAUAUAUAAUUUGUUUUGAAAUCGGACCUCAAAUCGAGGUCCAAAUCCCCAAAAUUUUAAAAACCUAGAUUCUACCCAAAACACCCAAUUUCCCCCAUGAAAACUAUUGAUUUUGAGUUGAAAUCAUGUGAAAAGAUGUUAAGGAUUGAAGAAAACUAGUUAGAAAUCACUUACAAUUGAUUUGGAGAAGAAGUUGCCUUUGAAAAAUCGCCCUAGAGUGUUUUGGUUUUGAAAGAGUGUGAAAAAUGGUUGAAAUGCGUCUAAGUUAUGAGUUUGCAGGUCUCUAAUUUCGCAACUGCGAUCAGGGUUCGCAAUUGCGAACCCUUCAGAAUUCUGAGACCUUCGCAUUUGCGAACAAAAUGUCGCACUUGCAACCCAGUCUAUUUUCCGGUCUUCUUCGUAUUUGCGAUACAGGAGUCGCAUUUGCGACUAAGGCAGUAACUGGGGGGGGCAUCACAUUUGUGAUGGAAAACUCGCAUUUGCGAGGGAAUGCUGGCCUGGGCUAGUUCGCAUUUGCGACCCAACCCUCGUAUUUGCGAGCCAGGCUUCGCAAAUGCGAAGCCUACAUGCCUGCAAUAGAACAGCUGAAACCUACAAUUUUUUCAAAUCCAAUUCUACUCCGUGGCCUAUCCAAAACUCACUCGAGCCCUCGGGGCUCCGAACCAAACAUGCCCACCACCCUAUAAACAUCAUACAGACUUGCUUGUGCAUUUAAAUCACUCAAAUAACAUCAACAACUAUGAAUUUAGCAUCAAAAUCAUAAAAUUUCUUAAGAACUUCCAAUUUUCCAAUUUUCUCAAAUACGAUUCGAUUCAUGUCAUCUCAAGUCCGUUUAUUACCAAGUUUCACAGACUUAGCUUAAAUCACAUAUAAGACCUGUACCAGGUGCCGGAACCAAAAUACGGGCCCGAUACCAUCAAGUUUUAAACACAUUUCAUUUUCAAAAACUCAUAAAUUUUGCAGAAAACAAUUUUCUUUAAAAAUUCAUUUCUCGGUCUUGGGACCUCGGAAUUCGAUUUCAGGCAUACACCCAAGUCCCAUAUUUUCCUACGGACCCCACGAGACCAUCAAAUCACGGGUCCAGUUCCAUUUACCCAAAAUGUUGACCGAAGUCAACUUAAUUCAUUUUAAAGUCAAAAUUGAUCAUUUCUUACAGAUUGUCACAUAAAGGCUUUCUGGCUAUGCGCUUGGACUGCGCACGCAAAUUGAGACAAGUAUUCUUAAAAUAAGUGAUGACCUUUUGGGUCAUCACAAAGGAAGCUCUCAACAAUCGAGACAGAUCUAGGAUCCUAAAGUUGAUGGUUCGGCCUAAGAUAUUUGAUACUAAACUAAUGGUGGGCGGCUAUUCUUAGAGCUGUUUCGUUGUGGCGUCAGGUGGUGUUUGACGGAGUUGCGACGGCGAUGGAGGUGAAGGAGGAAGUAUG
rnacentral:lncRNA from 1 species